UGAAACGCUGGGGGUGCUAAUACUGCAAGUCGAACGGAACUUAGCGCUGAAGCGACCUUCGGGUCAAUUCUUGCUAAGUUUAGUGGCGGACGGGUGAGCAACGCGUGAGCAAUCUGCCCUUCAGAGGGGGACAACAGCUGGAAACGGCUGCUAAUACCGCAUGAUAUAUAUUUGUGGCAUCACAGAUAUAUCAAAGAUUUUACCGCUGAAGGAUGAGCUCGCGUCUGAUUAGCUAGUUGGUGGUGUAACGGACCACCAAGGCGACGAUCAGUAGCCGGACUGAGAGGUUGAUCGGCCACAUUGGGACUGAGAUACGGCCCAGACUCCUACGGGAGGCAGCAGUAAGGAAUAUUGGGCAAUGGGGGCAACCCUGACCCAGCAACGCCGCGUGAAGGAAGAAGGCUUUCGGGUUGUAAACUUCUUUGACGAAGGACGAAACAAAUGACGGUACUUCGAAAACAAGCCACGGCUACUACGUUCCAGCAGCCGCGGUAAUACGUAGGUUGGCAAGCGCUAUCCGGAUUUACUGGGUGUAAAGGGCCCUUAGGCGGGAUAACAAUCAGAUGUUGAAAUCUAUGGGCUUAACCAUAAACUUGCAUUUGAAACUUGC
rnacentral:rRNA from 1 species